rnacentral:rRNA from 1 species
UACGUAGGGUGCAGGCGUUAAUCGGAAUUACUGGGCGUAAAGCGUGCACAGGCGGUCUUUUAAGUCAGAUGUGAAAUCCCCGGGCUUAACCUGGGAACUGCGUUUGAAACUGGAAGGCUUGAGUGUGGCAGAGGGGGGUGGAAUUCCACGUGUAGCAGUGAAAUGCGUAGAGAUGUGGAGGAACACCGAUGGCGAAGGCAGCCCCCUGGGCUAACACUGACGCUCAUGCACGAAAGCGUGGGGAGCAAACAGG